GACAGAGGUCCCAAGCGUUGUUCGGAUUCACUGGGCGUAAAGGGUGCGUAGGCGGUUGGGUAAGGCCGACGUGAAAUACCGUGGCUUAACCACGGAAUUGCAUUGGAAACUAUCCAGCUCGAGGGUUGGAGAGGGGACUGGAAUUCUCGGUGUAGCAGUGAAAUGCGUAGAUAUCGAGAAGAACACCGGUGGCGAAGGCGAGUCCCUGGACAACUCCUGACGCUGAGGCACGAAAGCUAGGGGAGCAAACAGG
rnacentral:rRNA from 1 species